CCUACGGGAGGCAGCAGUGGGGAAUAUUGGACAAUGGGCGAAAGCUGAUCCAGCAAUGCCGCGUGAGUGAUGAAGGCCUUAGGGUUGUAAAGCUCUUUUACCAGGGAUGAUAAUGACAGUACCUGGAGAAUAAGCUCCGGCUAACUCCGUGCCAGCAGCCGCGGUAAUACGGAGGGAGCUAGCGUUGUUCGGAAUUACUGGGCGUAAAGCGUACGUAGGCGGUUAUUCAAGUCAGGGUGAAAGCCUGGAGCUCAACUCCAGAACUGCCYUUGAAACUAGAUAACUAGAAUCUUGGAGAGGUGAGUGGAUUCCGAGUGUAGAGGUGAAAUUCGUAGAUAUUCGGAAGAACACCAGUGGCGAAGGCGACUCACUGGACAAGUAUUGACGCUGAGGUACGAAAGCGUGGGGAGCAAACAGGAUUAGAUACCCUGGUAGUCCACGCCGUAAACGAUGAUAACUAGCUGUUCGGSUCUACGAGCUUGAGUGGCGCASUAACGCAUUAAGUUAUCCGCCUGGGAGUACGGUCGCAAGAUUAAACUCAAAGGAAUUGACGGGG
rnacentral:rRNA from 1 species